AAUAACCGUUAAAUCGUGAUUUUUUGUUUUAUAACCGUCGAAAUGUUUUGUCUCAUUACUUGAUCUCUGAAUGUUUGUUUUUUGUGAUUUUUGGCGUAUGCGAUCUCAAAGCAUAUAUAAACAAGAUUGGCGGUUGGAUCGUUGAAAUUAGUUCCAUAGAAUUCGUAUCCCAUCAAAACGAUAGAUUCACUAACACUUAGAGUUUAUUUAUACUUUCAUUAAGUAUAACAUAAGAUUUUGUGUUAUCCACUUGUGUAAAUAUUUUAAAUUGACGAUCGAAUUCAUUCAUUGUAUUCGUAUAGGGUCAACAAGUGUAGUUGCAAAAAAUCAUCAAAAUCGGAGUUAAAAUAACCGUUAAAUCGUGAUUUUUUGUGUUAUAACCGUCGAAAAGUUUUGUCUCCUUACUUGAUCUCUGGAUGUUUGUUUUUUGUGAUUUUUGGCGUAUGUGAUCUCGAAGAAUAUACAAACAAGUUUGACGGUUGGAUCGUUGAAAUUCGUUUCAUAGAAUUUGUAUCCCAUCAAAACGAUAGAUUCACUAACACUUAGAGUUUAUUUAUACUUUCAUUAUGUAUAACAUAAGAUUUUGUGGUAUCCACUUGUGUAAAUAUUUUAAAUUGACGAUCGAAUUCAUUCAUUGUAUUCAUAUAGGCUCAACAAGUGUAGUUGCAAAAAAUCAUCAAAAUCGAAGUUAAAAUAACCGUUAAAUCGUGAUUUUUUGUUUUAUAACCGUCGAAACGUUUUGUCUCAUUACAUGAUCUCUGGAUGUUUGUUUUUUGUGAUUUUUGGCGUAUGAGAUCUCGAAGCAUAUACAAACAAGUUUGACGGUUGGAUCGUUGAAAUUAGUUUCAUAGAAUUUGUAUCCCAUCAAAACGAUAGAUUCACUAACACUUAGAGUUUAUUUAUACUUUCAUUAAAUAUAACAUAAGAUUUUGUGGUAUCCACUUGUGUAAAUAUUUUAAAUUGACGAUCGAAUUCAUUCAUUGUAUUCAUAUAGGGUCAACAAGUGUACUUAUAAAAAAUCAUCAAAAUCGAAGUUAAAAUAACCGUUAAAUCGUGAUUUUUUGUUUUAUAACCGUCGAAAAGUUUUGUCUCAUUACUUGAUUUUUGAAUGUUUGUUGU
rnacentral:lncRNA from 1 species